rnacentral:rRNA from 1 species
UCAGUCGACUCCUACGGGAGGCAGCAGUAGGGAAUCUUCCACAAUGGACGAAAGUCUGAUGGAGCAACGCCGCGUGAACGAUGAAGGCUUUCGGGUCGUAAAGUUCUGUUGUAAGGGAAGAACAAGUGCCGCAGGCAAUGGCGGCACCUUGACGGUACCUUGCGAGAAAGCCACGGCUAACUACGUGCCAGCAGCCGCGGUAAUACGUAGGUGGCAAGCGUUGUCCGGAAUUAUUGGGCGUAAAGCGCGCGCAGGCGGCCUCUUAAGUCUGAUGUGAAAGCCCCCCGGCUCAACCGGGGAGGGCCAUUGGAAACUGGGAGGCUUGAGUAUAGGAGAGAAGAGUGGAAUUCCACGUGUAGCGGUGAAAUGCGUAGAGAUGUGGAGGAACACCAGUGGCGAAGGCGACUCUUUGGCCUAUAACUGACGCUGAGGCGCGAAAGCGUGGGGAGCAAACAGGAUUAGAUACCCUGGUAG